GUGAGGAAUUUUCCGCAAUGGGCGAAAGCCUGACGGAGCAAUGCCGCGUGAAGGAUGAAGGCCUAUGGGUUGUAAACUUCUUUUCUCAGAAAAGAAUUAUGACGGUAUCUGAGGAAUAAGCAUCGGCUAACUCUGUGCCAGCAGCCGCGGUAAGACAGAGGAUGCAAGCGUUAUCCGGAAUGAUUGGGCGUAAAGCGUCUGUAGGUGUUUUAAAAAGUAUUCUGUCAAAGAUUAGGGCUUAACCCUAGAUAGGCAGAAUAAACUUUUAAGCUAGAGGUUGGUAGAGGCAGAGGGAAUUCCCGGUGGAGCGGUGAAAUGCGUAGAUAUCGGGAGGAACACCAAAGGCGAAGGCACUCUGCUGGGCCAAUACUAACACUGAGAGACGAAAGCGAGGGGAGCAAAUGGGAUUAGAAACCCUUGUAGUCC
rnacentral:rRNA from 1 species